AUGCCCUGCAGAUUCAACUAUAGCUUUAUAUCCCACACCCACAUCAUGAAUGUGAGCCAUUGCAGACAGACACUUGGGUUAAGUUGUUGUAUGCAUAAUGGAAGAGUUAAUGUAAAUUACCACAUAAUAUUUAACAUAUGUAUCAUCUCAAAUGGCUUAACCAAAGGUGUUUUUAAAAAUCAUACCAUAUUCAUUAAUAAACCACUUACAUGGAUUAGGAUUAAUAACCAAAUAAACAUUCUUUUCAAAACCAGUUACAUUUCAUUUUUGAAAUAUCAUAUGAUGAUAUAA